CUAAUGCCAACCACUCCAAGAGUGUAAUGGGUGCUUUUACGUGCCACCAGCACAGGUGCCAUUUGCCUGACACCAAUUUUUCUAUAACUGCGAUUUUACUUGUCUUGAUGAGUCUUAUUCUCAAGCAUGACAUAAUGCUAAAGGUCUUGUUCAUUGCCUCCAUGAUGCACAACAUUCAAAAGGAGCUCAGCCACUUUGCCUCUGUGAGCCCCAAUGCUUGAAAGGUGCUUUUUAUGUGCCACUGGCACAGGUGCCAGUUACAUGACACCACCAUCAACCACAAUUACAACUUCA